AGAGUUUGAUCAUGGCUCAGAACGAACGCUGGCGGCGUGCCUAACACAUGCAAGUCGAGCGAGAAAGGGGAGCAAUCCCCGAGUAAAGCGGCAGACGGGUGAGUAACACGUGGGUAAUCUGCCCUCGAGUGGGGAAUAACAUCUCGAAAGAGGUGCUAAUACCGCAUAACAUCCUGGGGCCUCAGGUCUCUGGGAUCAAAGGUGGGGAUCUUCGGACCUACCGCUUGAGGAGGAGCCCGCGCCUGAUUAGCUAGUUGGUGGGGUAAUGGCCUACCAAGGCGACGAUCAGUAGCCGGCCUGAGAGGGUGAACGGCCACACUGGAACUGAGACACGGUCCAGACUCCUACGGGAGGCAGCAGUGAGGAAUUUUGCGCAAUGGGCGAAAGCCUGACGCAGCAACGCCGCGUGGACGAUGAAGGUCUUCGGAUCGUAAAGUCCUGUCGAGUGGGAAGAAAAAUGGGUGACCUAAUACGGCAUUCAUUCGACUGUACCACCAAAGGAAGCCCCGGCUAACUCCGUGCCAGCAGCCGCGGUAAUACGGAGGGGGCUAGCGUUGUUCGGAAUUAUUGGGCGUAAAGGGCGCGUAGGCGGCCGAAUAAGUCUGACGUGAAAUCCCCCGGCCCAACCGGGGAACUGCGUUUGAUACUGUUCGGCUCGAGUCCGGGAGAGGGUAGUGGAAUUCCCAGUGUAGCGGUGAAAUGCGUAGAUAUUGGGAGGAACACCGGUGGCGAAGGCGGCUACCUGGACCGGUACUGACGCUGAGGCGCGAAAGCUAGGGUAGCAAACAGGAUUAGAUACCCUAGUAGUCC
rnacentral:rRNA from 1 species